rnacentral:rRNA from 1 species
AGUGAACGCUGGCGGUAGGCCUAACACAUGCAAGUCGAACGGCAGCACAGUAAGAGCUUGCUCUUACGGGUGGCGAGUGGCGGACGGGGGAGGAAUACAUCGGAAUCUACUUUUUCGUGGGGGAUAAGGUAGGGAAACUUACGCUAAUACCGCAUACGACCUACGGGUGAAAGCAGGGGAUCUUCGGACCUUGCGCGAUUGAAUGAGCCGAUGUCGGAUUAGCUAGUUGGCGGGGUAAAGGCCCACCAAGGCGACGAUCCGUAGCUGGUCUGAGAGGAUGAUCAGCCACACUGGAACUGAGACACGGUCCAGACUCCUACGGGAGGCAGCAGUGGGGAAUAUUGGACAAUGGGCGCAAGCCUGAUCCAGCCAUACCGCGUGGGUGAAGAAGGCCUUCGGGUUGUAAAGCCCUUUUGUUGGGAAAGAAAAGCAGCAGGUUAAUACCCCGCUGUUCUGACGGUACCCAAAGAAUAAGCACCGGCUAACUUCGUG